UACAGAGGUCUCAAGCGUUGUUCGGAUUCAUUGGGCGUAAAGGGUGUGUAGGUGGCGCGCUAAGUCGGGUGUGAAAUUUCGGAGCUUAACUCUGAAACUGCACUCGAUACUGCUCUGCUUGAGGACUGGAGAGGAGACUGGAAUUCACGGUGUAGCAGUGAAAUGCGUAGAUAUCGUGAGGAAGACCAGUGGCGAAGGCGGGUCUCUGGACAGUUCCUGACGCUGAGGCGCGAAGGCCAGGGGAGCAAACGGG
rnacentral:rRNA from 1 species